UACACUCCUACGGGAGGCAGCAGUGGGGAAUAUUGGACAAUGGGCGCAAGCCUGAUCCAGCCAUGCCGCGUGAGUGAUGAAGGCCCUAGGGUUGUAAAGCUCUUUCACCGGAGAAGAUAAUGACGGUAUCCGGAGAAGAAGCCCCGGCUAACUUCGUGCCAGCAGCCGCGGUAAUACGAAGGGGGCUAGCGUUGUUCGGAAUUACUGGGCGUAAAGCGCACGUAGGCGGAUCGAUCAGUCAGGGGUGAAAUCCCAGGGCUCAACCCUGGAACUGCCUUUGAUACUGUCGAUCUGGAGUAUGGAAGAGGUGAGUGGAAUUCCGAGUGUAGAGGUGAAAUUCGUAGAUAUUCGGAGGAACACCAGUGGCGAAGGCGGCUCACUGGUCCAUUACUGACGCUGAGGUGCGAAAGCGUGGGGAGCAAACAGGAUUAGAUACCCGAGUAGUCCCAUG
rnacentral:rRNA from 1 species